AAUGUGGACCGAAGCCCAUGACUUUUACCCCAGCAAGAAAGAAAACAACAAAAAAACCGUACAAAAUUAAAUCAUGCAUAAGUGUUCUUCACUUUCGCUCUAAAAUUGCUUGAAAAUUCUCAAAUAAUUUGAGGAUCUUUUCUCUCUCCUCUCAACAAUUUAUUUUGCAAAAAAACAUCUCAAAUUCUAUAUCACAAGAUCAAAUUGAGCAAAAUCAGUAUAUAUAUGAAGACGAUCUACAAUUACAAUCUAUGUUCAAACUUUGAUUUGAACAAAUUCUAUGCAAUCGAAAGCAAUUACGAAGAAAACUUAAAUAAUCAUCCAAUUGAAUUUAGAAUAAUUCAACAAGAGUAGAAGAUGCGAAACAAGAAGUAAUACAAGUAGAGGAUGAUAAUGGAGUACUUGUAGAUCUGGUUGAGGAGGAAAAUCAACAUGUAUUAUAAGGUCAAGCAGAGAUCGAUUAUAAUCAGUUUUAAUUUGUUAUAAUCAAUUUUGAUUUGGCAUAAUCAGUUUUGUAUCGAUAUAAUCAGUUUUGAUUUGGUAUAAUUUGUAGGGCUGGCAAACAGGUCGGGUUGGGUUGGGUUCGGGUUGACCUGUUUAAUAAACAGGUCAAGACCCCCCAACCUGAACCCGACCUGUUUACUUAAACAGGUCAGAAUGGCGAACCUGAACCCGACCUAGUUUAAAUGGGUUGACCUGAUUUCAACCCGUUUGACCUGUUUUUUUUUUUUUUU